GUUGUUGCGCGAAAUGGCGGCUGGCGUCUUGCAGGGGCCGCCGCAGCUGGGCAGGCUUGGGGAAGCUGUA